rnacentral:lncRNA from 1 species
UACUCUUUGUAUCUAAAUCAAGCUUUGUACAUCGCGAUUCAUCCUGGUUUGAUUAGAAUGUCGAAGAAGUUGUUAUAUUCCCAAACAGGGAAACUGGGAUCACCUUAUUUGAAAGUGGGAUAACUUCUUCAUCCUAACUCCUAUGAGAUUUGUUCAACUUUCUAGUGAUUCUCCACUACUUUAUGUAUCCAAAUGAAGGUUCUUACAUCGCGAUUCAUCCUGGUUUGAUUAGAAUGACAAGAAGUUGUCAUAUUCCUAAACAUGAAAACUGGGAUCACCUUAUUUGAACGUGGGAUAACUUCUUCAUCCUAACUCCUAUGAGAUUUAUUCAACUUCCUGGUGAUUCUCCACUACUUUAUGUAUCCAAAUGAAGGUUCUUACAUCACGAUUCAUCCUGGUUUGAUUAGAAUGACAAAGAAGUUGUCAUAUUCCCAAACAGGGAAACUGGGAUCACC